ACCUCCAGCACCUUGGCUAUGUAGGGGAUCAGCGGCAGGUUCAGCACCAGGAGGAUCAGAUUCCCGAUAUACAUUGAGAUGAUCACCGCCCAGAAGAUCUGCGGCUCAUCGAUCAUGAGCCGCGGCCC
rnacentral:ncRNA from 1 species